AAAACAGCUGCAACUUCAAGUGUCUUAUUUGUUUAUUUAUUUAAAUUUCGGUUCCUUAGUCUCUGGGGCAGUUGUAUUUGGGAAAGGGUUGAGGCUGGUGUUUAAGCAGCCCGGUGAAAAAAAAUUGAGGAAAGCAUUAAAAAGUGACCCAGGGAAGAAAAAUCAAGAGACUCCGUUCUGAGUGUAAGAAGAUGUGGCUUUGUCUAUUGCCUGGCGUGCUGCAUUAAUUUGUUCUUGUUUUGUCUCUACAGCGUGCUGUGGCGAGUUUAAUGUGGAGCUUUAUUGUUUUCUUUUUUGUUGGUUACCUGAAAAAAUGAAUUUAGUUUUUUUGUUAUGUUUUUAAACCCAUUAUGGUUCAAACCUUCUUUUAAGGCAGUCGAGAAAAUACAUGUUCUUGUGUUACUGAGAUUUCCCGAUCCUGCGUGAAGUUUGUAGGAAAACACCAGAAGGUGUAUGUGAUACCCUGCUGGAUUAAGACCUUCCGGUGUUUUCAUGUUUUCUCUCAGUUUAGAGAGUUCAAUAGUCAGCUAUUUUUAGUUUUGGUAAAAAAAUUCUCUUUCAAAAGAAAUAAAAAUCAUAUAGGAAUUCCCUGCGACCCUGUUAGCGUGCUUUUAAUAACUUUUUUUGCCUCUCUCAAGUGCCUCUGUGUGGCAACGUUCAGUGGCCUAUUUAUAAUAUAAAGAUUUCCUAGACUGAAAACAAGACGAAGGCAGACUUUAGACUGUCCUCAGACUUUGGCAUUGUUAGAGAUGUGGCAUAUCUCUGCCGGGUAAAUGACCUGCUGGUUGUUGCAGCAGACUGUUGUAAUUUUUUCCUCAUGGCUUGUGGGAAAUGUAAACGGGCCAUAUACCCAGAGAAAUUUUCGGUGCAGCUGUGAAAUGUCCUUUACUGUGUAGGAAAUCCUAGGAAUUACCUACUCAUUUCUUUAGUGUUCUUUCCAACGUGAACUUGCACAGAUCUUUUAUUUUGCUCCUGGAAGGGGUUGCGGUGAAGCUUCUGGCCACCAACUCAAGGUGGUGCAGAAGAGUGUGGCCAGCGUGGGUGGAAAUACAGAGACAGAGAUGAGCGUUCACAGAGCUGGGUGUCUUGAGAGGCUGCCGAGGUGGGUGUUGGAAGCCUGAUUUCUGGGGAAUCCCUACCAGACAGAGCACUGUUUUGGUGUCUGAUCAGUGUUCACAGACUGAUGGGGCUGAUUUGCUUGAGACAUAUGGCAUUUAGCAGUGGCCGUAUACCCAUGUCUCCUUCUGUCUUUGAAAUGCCACCAGAGCUUUGAGGCCGUCCUGGACUUUGGGAUGGAGUGGAGGUUACCCGGAGCUGCUUGCCCUGAAUCUUGCUUUGCUAGGUGACCACUCGUUUGCUGCUGCUUUUUUGGAGAGGGCCUGUCCUGCACUGCAAGAUGUAUCCAUGAUGUCCAAUAGCAGUUCACAUUGCAUACCAAUGUGGACUACUUUUUUCUUGACGCGUGGCUGAUUAUGGAAAUCCUAUCAUGCCUGGCAGAAGGUCGGCAGAGAGGUCCUGACUGUUAUCUUGUCUUGUCUGGACUCUGGAGAUCAGAGGUUGAUUGGUGUUCACGACCAGCCGGACAACAGCAGGACUGCUCUCUAAGACCACAAGUGCUUUAACCGGCUGACAUUGUUUUUACCAGAUAUACGUGGCCUGUAUCCAGCUGUUGCGUACCUGCAGAAAUGGGAGAUGUGGAUAAGAGGAUUGUAUUGAAAGAACUACCCUGCUCCCUCCCCCAGUGCGCUCAGUGAAUUACACAGCUGUAUGCCGCUUACAAAAAAACUUUUCUGCACACUUAGUUUCUUGCACGGCCAACUAUUUGAAGCCGACAGAAUUUUUCAACCCCUUUGUUUUAAAGGACCCUGGCCUGUCUUCUGCAGCUCAACUCCCUUCACUCCUCGUUUUGGUGAACACAGGAUCCUAAGCGGAGAAUGAGGCAGCUAAAAGGAAAACCCAAAAAAGAGACCUCCAAGGAUAAAAAGGAGAGAAAACAGGCGAUGCAAGAAGCUCGACAACAAAUCACCACUGUGGUGCUUCCCACACUGGCUAUUGUAGUAGUGCUGAUUGUUGUAUUUGUUUAUGUAGCAACACGUCCAAAUACAACUGAAUGAUGCAGCUUUUCAGACUCUCUAACUUUGGGGUAUUAAUACUUUAUCAAGAGCCAAAAGAAACUCUUUGCCACUCUUUUAAUAUUUUACAAAGGAACUUGCUGUUAUCUUCAAUCUUUCUCUUCGUUAGGGUUCUACAAUUUCUCUUUAGGAAUGUAACAUAAAACGUAUUAGUGAAUGAGCCAGUACGUUUUAUGGUCCAGUUCAUGAUGUGCCUUUCAGACUUUUAAAAUGGUGUUUUUCUUAAAUCUGUUUGAAGUUCUAUAUUGUAAAAGGAAAUUCUGUUCUGCCAUAAAUUUGUAAAAAUCAGCUUUCAGCUGUUAUCACUGUUGUGGAUAAUGUUGCUCCCCUGAGCUCUUGUAUGUCUAUUUCAGAACUUCCAAAGAAGUACAUUUCUUCUUUGUACUUAAUGUCAUAUGAAAUGCUUUGAAUCAGAAAGGAUAUAUUUAUUUUUUGAAUAAAGGAGAUAAGUCUUACUUGGAAUCUUCAUCUCAUUUUGCAAAAAAUGUGACUUGUUGUGCAAGCCUACAUCAUGUAAUAAUUUUUUCAUUAAACACUAUAAUAUAGUUCACUUGAAAA